rnacentral:rRNA from 1 species
CCUACGGGUGGCAGCAGUGAGGAAUAUUGGUCAAUGGACGAGAGCCUGAACCAGCCAAGUCGCGUGCAGGAUGACUGCCCUACGGGUUGUAAACUUCUUUUAUAUGGGAAUAAAAUGUUCCACGUGUGGGAUUUUGUAUGUACCAUAUGAAUAAGGACCGGCUAACUCCGUGCCAGCAGCCGCGGUAAUACGGAAGGUCCGAGCGUUAUCCGGAUUUAUUGGGUUUAAAGGGAGCGUAGGUGGAUUGUUAAGUCAGUUGUGAAAGUUUGCGGCUCAACCGUCGCAUUGCAGUUGCAACUGGCAGUCUGGAGUAGGGGAGAGGUGGGCGGAAUUCGUGGUGUAGCGGUGAAAUGCUUAGAGAUCACGAAGAACUCCGAUUGCGAAGGCAGCUCGCUGGACUGCAACUGACGCUGAGGCUCGAAAGUGUGGGUAUCAAACAGGAUUAGAUACCCGAGUAGUC